rnacentral:rRNA from 1 species
AGUGUCGCAGCGAAAGCAAUAAACACACCGCCUGGGGAGUACGACCGCAAGGUUAAAACUCAAAUGAAUUGACGGGGACCCGCACAAGUAGUGGAGCAUGUGGUUUAAUUCGAAGAUACGCGCAGAACCUUACCAACACUUGACAUGUUCGUCGCGACUCUAAGAGAUUAGAGUUUUCGGUUCGGCCGGACGAAACACAGGUGCUGCAUGGCUGUCGUCAGCUCGUGUCGUGAGAUGUUGGGUUAAGUCCCGCAACGAGCGCAACCCUCACUUUUAGUUGCCAUCAUUAAGUUGGGCACUCUGAAAGAACUGCCAGUGAUAAGCUGGAGGAAGGUGGGGAUGACGUCAAGUCCUCAUGGCCCUUACGUGUUGGGCUACACACGUGCUACAAUGGCAUCUACAACAGGAAGCAAAACGGCAACGUUAAGCAAAUCCCGAAAAGAUGCCUCAGUUCGGAUUGCACUCUGCAACUCGAGUGCAUGAAGCUGGAAUUACUAGUAAUCGCGGAUCAGCGUGCCACGGUGAAUGCGUUCCCGGGUCUUGUACACACCGCCCGUCACACCAUGGGAGUUGGUUCUACCUUAAGGCAAGGUUUUAAACCCUUGACCACGGUAUAGUCAGCGACUGGGGUGAAGUCGUAACAAGGUACC